rnacentral:rRNA from 1 species
UACAGAGGGGGCAAGCGUCGUUCGGAAUUACUGGGCGUAAAGGGCGCGUAGGCGGCCCUCUAAGUCGAACGUGAAAUCCCCGGGCUCAACCCGGGAACUGCGUCCGAUACUGGAAGGCUUGAAUCCGGGAGAGGGAUGCGGAAUUCCAGGUGUAGCGGUGAAAUGCGUAGAUAUCUGGAGGAACACCGGUGGCGAAGGCGGCAUCCUGGACCGGCAUUGACGCUGAGGCGCGAAAGCCAGGGGAGCAAACGGG